GAUGAACGCUGGCGGCGUGCCUAAUACAUGCCAGUCGAGCGAACGGACGAGAAGCUUGCUUCUCUGAUGUUAGCGGCGGACGGGUGAGUAACACGUGGAUAACCUACCUAUAAGACUGGGAUAACUUCGGGAAACCGGAGCUAAUACCGGAUAAUAUUUUGAACCGCAUGGUUCAAAAGUGAAAGACGGUCUUGCUGUCACUUAUAGAUGGAUCCGCGCUGCAUUAGCUAGUUGGUAAGGUAACGGCUUACCAAGGCAACGAUGCAUAGCCGACCUGAGAGGAUGAUCGGCCACAUGGGAACUGAGACACGGUCCAGACUCCGAGGGGAGGCAGCAGUGGGGAAUAUUGGACAAUGGGCGGAAGCCUGAUCCAGCCAUACCGCGUGAGUGAAGAAGGUCUUCGGGUUGUAAAGCCCGUUUGUUGGGAAAGAAAAGCAGCAGGUUAAUACCCCGCUGUUCUGACGGUACCCAAAGAAUAAGCACCGGCUAACUUCGUG
rnacentral:rRNA from 1 species